ACGGAAGGCAGCAGUGAGGAAUAUUGGUCAAUGGACGGAAGUCUGAGCCAGCCAAGUCGCGUGAAGGAUGAAGGUAUUAUGUAUUGUAAACUUCUUUAGCAGUGGAGUAAUAAGGGGAUCGCGAUCCCUGAUGCAAGUACACUGAGAAUAAGGAUCGGCUAACUCCGUGCCAGCAGCCGCGGUAAUACGGAGGAUCCGAGCGUUAUCCGGAUUUAUUGGGUUUAAAGGGUGCGCAGGCGGCUUUUUAAGUCAGUGGUUAAAUCGUGACGCUCAACGUCAUCACGCCAUUGAUACUGGAGAGCUUGAUUGCGGUCGAGGUUUGCGGAAUUCGUUGUGUAGCGGUGAAAUGCAUAGAUAUGACGAAGAACACCGAUUGCGUAGGCAGCUGACCAGUCCGUAAAUGACGCUCAUGCACGAAAGUGCGGGGAUCGAACAGGAUUAGAUACCCUGGUA
rnacentral:rRNA from 1 species